rfam:Capsicum annuum cultivar Zunla-1 chromosome 10, whole genome shotgun sequence
CAAAAAAAGAGUUUGAUCCUGGCUCAGAAGGAAUGCUAGCUAUAUGCUUAACACAUGCAAGUUGAACGUUGUUUUUGGGGAGCUGGGCAGAAGGAAAAGUGGCUCCUAGAUAAAGGUAGCUUGUCUUUCCCAGGAGGUAAGAAGAGUUGAGAACAAAGUGGCGAACGGGUGCAUAAUGCGUGGGAAUCUGCCGAACAAUUCGGGCCAAAUCCUAAAGAAAGCUAAAAAGCACUGUUUGAAGAGCCUGUGUAGUAUUAGGUAGUUGGUCAGGUAAAGGCUGACCAAGCCAAUGAUGCUUAGCUGGUCUUUUCGGAUGAUCAGCCACACUAGGACUAAGACACGGCCCAAACUCCCAUGAGGGGCAGCAGUGGGGAAUCUUGGACAAUGGGCAAAAGUGCGAUCCAGUAAUAUUGUGUGAGUGAAGAAGGGCAAUGCCUCUUGUAAAGCUCUUUCAUCGAGUGCGUGAUCAUGACAGGACUCGAGGAAGAAGCCCUGACUAACUCUGUGCCAGCAGUCGUGGUAAGACGGAGGGGGGCAAGUGUUCUUCGGAAUAACUGGACAUAAAGGGCAUGUAGGUGGUAAAUCAGGUUGAAAGUGAAAGCAGCCAAAAACUGGCGGAAUGCUCUUGAAACCAAUUCACUUGAAUGAGACAGUGGAGAGUGGAAUUUCAUGUGUAGGGGUGAAAUCCAGAGAUCUACGAAGGAAUGCCAAAAUCAAAGGCAACUCUCUAGGUCCCUAUCGACGCUAAGGUGCAAAAGUAUGGGGAGCGAACAGGAUUAGAUACCCUAGUAGUCCAUGCCGUAAACGAUGAGUGUUCACCCUUGUUCUACGCGGAUCAGGGGCCCAGCAAUGCAUGAAACACUCUACCUGGGGAGUACAGUCGUAAGACCAAAACUCAAAAGAAUUGACGAGGGCCUACACAAGUAGUGGAGCAUAUGGUUCAAUUUGAUACAAUGCGCAAAACCUUACCAGCCCUUGAUAUAUGAACAAGAAAACCUAUCCUUAACGGGAUGGUACUGACUUUCAUACAGGUGCUGCAUGGUUAUCGUCAGCUCGUGUCGUGAGAUGUUUGCUCAAGUCCUAUAACGAGCGAAACCCUCAUUUUGUGUUACUGAGGCAUGCGUCUAAGGAGAAAGUCUUUGCAACCGAAGUGAGCUGAGGAGCCGAGUGACGUGCCAGCGCUACUAAUUGAGUGCCAGCACCUAGCUGUGCUGCCAGUAAGAAGGUAGCCGGUGCCUUUUGAAGCACUUUCUAUUUCUAGUUAGCGCUCUUUUUUAUUGCAGCUAGCGCGCUUGACUAAUGAUGAUAGAAAGGGCCUUUCUCUCUUGUUUAGUAAAGUCGAUGUUUUUGGCCAUAUCUUUCAGGUGACGAUGAUGUCAAGUUGAUGGCAAAGAAAGACUUGGUAUUCAGGCGAGCCACCCGGUGGUGUGGUACAUAGUGGGUUUAGUACGCCCCGCCCAAACAAACAGCUCGAAAACCAACAAAAAGGUGCGUGCCGCACUGACGAAAGACUGCCAGUGAUAUACUGGAGGAAGGUGGGGAUGACGUUAAGUCCAUAUGGCCCUUAUGGGCUGGGCCACACACGUUCUACAAUGGCAAUUACAAUAGGAAGAAAGGCUGUAAGGCAGAGCGAAUCCGGAAAGAUUGCCUCAGUUCGGAUUGUUCUCUGCAACUUAGGAACAUGAAGUUGGAAUCUCUAGUAAUCGCAGAUCAGCAUGCCGCGGUGAAUAUGUACCCAGGCCCUGUACACACCUCCCGUCACACCCUGGGAAUUAGUUUCGCCCGAAGCAUCAGACCAAUGAUCACCCAUGACUUCUGUGGCACACUAGUGCCACAAAGGCCUUUCGUGGUCUUAUUGGUGCAUACCACGGUGGGGUCUUCGACUGGGGUGAAGUCGUAACAAGGUAGCCGUAGGGGAACCUGUGGCUGGAUUGAAUCUUUC